UACGGAGGAUCCGAGCGUUAUCCGGAUUUAUUGGGUUUAAAGGGUGCGUAGGCGGCCUAUUAAGUCAGGGGUGAAAGACGGUAGCUUAACUAUCGCAGUGCCUUUGAUACUGAUAGGCUUGAAUGUACUUGGGGUAGGCGGAAUGUGACAAGUAGCGGUGAAAUGCAUAGAUAUGUCACAGAACACCAAUUGCGAAGGCAGCUUACUAAAGUAUGAUUGACGCUGAGGCACGAAAGCGUGGGGAUCAAACAGG
rnacentral:rRNA from 1 species